UCCUCCCUAGUGAUAAUGCCAAGCAUGUAUGU
rnacentral:piRNA from 1 species